AAUAUUUCGGCAUAUAAAAAUGAUGGCAGUAAGCAAGAUGUCAAAGACUUUGAACCAAGGUCCAACAUUUCAGCUUAUGGAGACAAUGACAUUGAUGUAAAAGAAAAGAAUGGAGCCAUUAAAGAUUUUGAACCUAGACCUAAUAUUUCAGCUUAUGGAGAAAAUGUCAUUGAUGCUGAUGAAAAGAAGAAACCAGUCAAAGAUUUUGAACCAAGACCCAAUAUUUCAGCUUAUGGAGACAAUGACAUUGAUGUUAAGGAAAAUAAGGGAGCCACCAACGAUUUUGAGCCAAGACCCAACAUUUCAGCUUAUGGAGACAAUGUCAUUGAUGAUAAUAAAAUGAAGAAACCAGUUGAAUAUUUCCAACCAAGACCAAACAUUUCAGCUUAUGGAGAAAAUGACAUUGAUGUUAAAAAAAGUAAAGAUUUUGAACCAAGACCCAACAUUUCAGCUUUUGGAGACAAUGACAUUGAUGUUAAUGAAAAGAAGGGAGAUACUAAAGAUUUCGAACCAAGACCAAAUAUUUCAGCUUAUGGAGACAAUGCCAUUGAUGAUGAUGAAAUGAAGAAACCAAUUAAAGAUUUUAAACCAAAAC
rnacentral:lncRNA from 1 species